CAGGGAUGAAAAUUUUCUCCCUCUCAAUCUUAUAAACCAACAAGCCCCAACCUUCUACCCUAGACAUUCUGAACUGUCUGUAAUCUGAUUUUUGACUUCUAAGAUGUCGUUUCUCAGAGGAGAAUUGCCCAGGAAUUUGUUUUUUGGCUUCACUCACAACUUCCACUACAUCCGCUUCCGUUGCUGCGGGUAUUGAUACAUUUCUGCAACCAAUAAAUGCAGCCGGUAAUCAAGAAAAUGCUCAGCAGUUUUCUGCAGUUUAAUCUUUGCCCCAUGAUAAUGUGCCCAAUGGAUCACCAGUUCAAGGAUCCAGUGUUGCGAAGUGUUUGUUCAAUCAGCCUAAUCAAUCCCCUCCAACUAAUUCGUCUGGUCCCAUGACACCUUUCAGAGCAACUUCCUCUCAAACUGACAAAUCUGUUUCUCCACUCACUGCUACUCCAAGUAACAAUGUUGCAGCCCAUCUAGUAACCGCACUGUAAUCACUUAAGAGACAAUUAGAGUAAGCCCUGCCAAACAAGUAACUUAUUAUUCCAUUGAGAGGAAUCACUAUAUUUCAUCUUCCUCACCAGUCAAGACAAAUUUGAAGAGGCUUGGCAUAAGAAAUCAUGUAAAAGGCAGGCUAGAUUUUGAUGGUUCUGACAUGCCAGUUAACUCUGAAAAAUCGAUAAUUGAUAAGGUUCCAAUGUCUCAAUCCAACAAUGACUUGGACAUCUUUGAUUUUGAUUAAACUAAUAUAGAUGCUCUUGGAAUGGAUUUUUGCCUCUCUGAAUUGUUGGUUGAUUUUGAUCUUGAUGGUGAGGGAAUUAAUUAUUCUUGCCAGCCAGCCUUGGGUUCUCCAGACUCCCUUUCUGGAUCCUAAAACGAAUCAGGAGAUGCUACUCUGGGUGCUAAUCAAGUUUUAUCUGAGUUUUCAUCCACUGUGACAGAAGUUUUUUCAGAGAACGGCAUGAAUACACAAGCAGGCCCAGAUUCUGUGACUAAUGUGAAGUCCAUAACAAAAUGCAUUAAGAUAUUAAGUCCUGCAAAGAAUCAUACAUGCUCUACUUUGGAUCGGGAGAAUCUGUCAGCAAGAAGCUGACUGGCUUAACAAUACCGACUACUCAUAUAUUGACAUGGACCAAUGCAGUAAUUACCACCUGAUGUUGUUAUUGGGAUUUAUAUGCCCUGGCACAGUAAAUUUCUAUUUGGAUUAUAGUGAUAUAUAUUCCUGACGUUUAAGAAAUAUUUAUGCUUUAUACAAUUGGUGAAUUCAAUGUAUUAUGUUUCGAUUCAUUAUAGAAUUGAUAGUGUCCAUUUGAUUAU